rnacentral:rRNA from 1 species
UACGUAGGGUGCGAGCGUUGUCCGGAAUUAUUGGGCGUAAAGAGCUCGUAGGCGGUUUGUCGCGUCGGCCGUGAAAACCUGGGGCUUAACUCUGGGCUUGCGGUCGAUACGGGCAUCACUGGAGUUCGGCAGGGGAGACUGGAAUUCCUGGUGUAGCGGUGAAAUGCGCAGAUAUCAGGAGGAACACCGGUGGCGAAGGCGGGUCUCUGGGCCGAUACUGACGCUGAGGAGCGAAAGCGUGGGGAGCGAACAGG